rnacentral:rRNA from 1 species
UACGUAGGAGGCAAGCGUUGUCCGGAAUUACUGGGCGUAAAGCGCGUGUAGGUGGUGGGACAAGUCUGCUGUGAAAGCGCCUGGCUUAACCGGGCGAGGUCGGCGGAAACUGUCCGACUCGAGGACGGUAGAGGGGGGUGGAAUUCCCGGUGUAGUGGUGAAAUGCGUAGAGAUCGGGAGGAACACCUGUGGCGAAGGCGGCCCCCUGGGCCGGCCCUGACACUGAGGCACGAAGGCCAGGGGAGCAAACGGG